AUUGAACGCUGGCGGCAGGCUUAACACAUGCAAGUCGAGCGGGGUGAUGGUGCUUGCACUAUCACUUAGCGGCGGACGGGUGAGUAAUGCUUAGGAAUCUGCCUAUUAGUGGGGGACAACAUCUCGAAAGGGAUGCUAAUACCGCAAACGUCCUACGGGAGAAAGCAGGGGAUCACUUGUGACCUUGCGCUAACAGAUGAGCCUCAGUCGGAUUAGCAGGUUGGUGGGGUAAAGGCCCACCAAGGCGACGAUCUGUAGAGGGUCUGGGAGGAUGAUCCGCCACACUGGGACUGAGACACGGCCCAGACUCCUACGAGAGGCAGCAGUGGGGAAUAUUGGACAAUGGGGGGAACCCUGAAGCAGCGAUGCCGCGUGAGGGACGAAGGUCUUCGGAUUGUAAACCUCUUUUGCGGGGGAAAAAUUCCUGAGUGAAUAACUCAGGUUGAUGGUACUCCGCGAAUAAGCCACGGCUAACUUCGUGCCAGCCGCCGCCGUAA
rnacentral:rRNA from 1 species